UACGGGGGGGGCAAGCGUUGUUCGGAAUUACUGGGCGUAAAGGGCUCGUAGGUGGCCAACUAAGUCAGACGUGAAAUCCCUCGGCUUAACCGGGGAACUGCGUCUGAUACUGGAUGGCUUGAGGUUGGGAGAGGGAUGCGGAAUUCCAGGUGUAGCGGUGAAAUGCGUAGAUAUCUGGAGGAACACCGGUGGCGAAGGCGGCAUCCUGGACCAAUUCUGACGCUGAGGGAGCGAAAGCCAGGGGAGACAAAGCGGG
rnacentral:rRNA from 1 species